CGGACUCCUACGGGAGCCGGACCUCAUCCCCGACUCCAGCUGCAGAAAGACUUCGUCCGGACUCCUACGGCAGUCGGACUUCAUCCCCGACUCCGGCUGCAGGAGGACUUCGUCUGGACUCCUACGGGAGCCGGAUCUCGCCCCCGACUUCAAUUGCAGGAAGACUUCGUCCGGAUUCCUACGGGAGCCGGACUUCAUCCCCGACUCCGGC
rnacentral:lncRNA from 1 species